rnacentral:lncRNA from 1 species
UGAUUAUCAAGCCCCAUAUCACCAAACUCAGCUUUAAUGCUUUUCUCCGGUAGAGAUUUUCGAAUAUCGUAGGUGAAUAUAUAGGUAAAUUUUACACUGUUUGCAGAUGAAAAUUCCACUCAGACAUUCAAAGUGAAUUUUGCAGAUGAAAAUUCCACUCAGACAGUUCAAGGUGAAUUUUGCAGAUGGUCAAUCAACAUGCUGCAACGACUCGUCCAUCACGUGUUUCCUUUCUGUGUGAAAACAUUUUUCAGGUCGAUACAUUUCAAAUGCCUUAAAUGACUGGAAGUGAUGUUAAGGAAGAUGAUCUCUUGCAUAAUAGCCAAAAAUAUAUGCCUGCGAGAGUAAAAUUUUCCUCACGAUCAGUUCUUCACGAAAAAUGAAACAAAGGAGUGGUUAUAGAAACGUGCUGCCGGAAGUCUUCCUUAUGGUGAGGAAUGUAAGGAGGUGGCUAUAUAUACCAUCGCUUCGUCACAGUGUGAGCCAUAUGUUUUAAAACUUCGUCGUGGUAAUUAAACGAAAGGCAGACUCUGGAAUCAGUGAUUCAAAACUUCUAAUAUGGUCAGGGAAAUCUGUUGUAACCCAGAAGUUAGCCACAAAGACAUAAACAGAUAUUUCGACCAAUGCACCUGUGGUGACUGUAGACAUGCGAUGCAGAAGGUACGUUUGAUUGCCACCGAGACCGAGGUUUGGGCUCGUAAAAAUAUGGAGAUUUCAUGCUACACCAAUCAUAUAUCCUUGUGCUUCUGGGCAGGCAAACGCCAACACGAAGUAGUUGUACAAAUGGUCAAUGGGAAAUUAGAAGUGGAGACGAAUAUUAACAGUUGGACUGCGUGGCUUCAGGCGGUAGUCCGACGCAAAUUCAGCGAAUUCAAGAGUAUUUUUUUCUCUAUUAUUGGAUGUGCAUUGCGUCUGGGAGCUGCCGCGGCAUUGAAAGCAAUAACACAUGGUUAACUAACUGCAUAUUGAUAACAUCAGUCUAGCCUAGCGCUACUGAGCAAGAACAUUCUGCAUGAAUCAAAAUUGGGCCAUCGAAAUGAGUUAAUUUACAAGUACGGGAUAAUAAAAGAUCAUGCAUGUAAGGGCAUAUAACUAUCGCAGUGAUUUGAAAUAAAUGCAAGUAAAUCUUUA